UACUCCUCACGUUGUACCGGGAUCUUUGCUUCGAUUCAAACAUUUCACAGACUGUAUAAUUUUGAAUGGAAUCAUAACACUUAUCAUUCACAAGACAGAAUGGCCAGCCUGGUUCUUCCAGCUUCCCCAAACUGGUAUUUGAGCCAAAUUAGCGAUUCAAAUCGCGGAGGGUUCUACGUUUUCGGCGCUCGGCACGAUGUUGCUAUCUUUGACACAUCCAGUGUGCCCCGAACCCCUCCACGGUAUAUCAAUUCAUUUUGUGGACAUAAAGAUCGAGUGUCAUGUGUUAAGCUUGGUCAGAUACAGAGCCAACUGAACAUUUGUUGCAGCUCAGCUGAUGAUUUGAAAGUGAAACUUUGGGAUGUCAAUACUCAGGUUGAAAUCCAGUCACACUCAGAACACAAAGACAAAAUCACAGCAUUAUCUUGGUCACGCAGUCAAACUGACCUGAUAGUCACUGGAGAUGAACGUGGGACAGUGGUUGUAUGGCGAUACCGAACAGAUGAACACCAGACUUUCCGACAUGAGAAGGACCUCAUUUUCAGUCUGGCUUGCUGCCCACACGACCCAUCGUUGUUGGCUGUAGGGUACAAGUCUGGGAACAUACUUCUGCUGGACAUGUCAUCCCGGGGGUACAUCCAGCACCGUCUGCGUGGUCAUGACGACGAGGUGCACAGUGUUGUCUGGUGCCCUGUGCCCGGGGAGAAUGUGCUGACUGAGGGAGCUUAUUCAGAAGCAGGAGACGACACGGAAGGUUAUCUGCUGGCUUCUGGAUCCCGGGACAGAACUAUACGAAUCUGGAAGUCUAGUCAGGGGAAGCAACUCCAGGUGAAGAAGCUGCCACUGAACACGGGUAACCGGCGUGACAACGCGGACAGUCAAGGGAGGAGCAAGGUGUGGACUUCCCUGUACUGGCCACUGGACCACCCCACACAGCUUGUGUCAUCCUCUUUUGGUGGUGAGCUUGUGAUGUGGGAUCUGUCUCCGGUGGGCCACAAGAGGGAGAUCUUCCAGGCAGGAGACAGUCGCAUCCACUCACGCAUCGUGUUCAACAUCUGUGCAGGGGGAGAGGAGAUGAACACACUGUUCACUGUGGGCAUGGACAGAAUGAUUGUUCUGUGGGACCUCGACCGUCAGUGUUCUGUGUACUCCAUACCAUCACUAGGGGGACAUGUGUACAACAUGGAGACGUCUCCACUUGAUCCUGGACGAGUUGCUGUCGGUGUGGGGGACAACACCAUCCGUGUUUGGAACACCAAUAACAAGGUCAACCCUUUUGAUAUCAACACGUUGUGGCAGGGAAUCAAGUCCAAGGUCACAUCGCUGUGCUGGCAUCCCACAAAGGAAGGGCAGCUUGCAUUUGGCACCGACCACGGCAGUGUCGGCAUCUAUGACGUCAUGACAAACAAACAUCCAAACGUAUCUUCAACGUUUCAUAGAAGAACUGUGUAUGUGGUUGCCUUUGGCCCUGCCUCCAGAUCUGCUGAAGCUGGUGAGUCAUCCUCCCUCAGCCUGUACAGUGUGGGGGACUCGAUGGUGCUGGAACACAGGCCUCAUGCAUUCAACAAGGAUGCUGUGGACAUCAACCAACUCAUUGAACAAGUCAACGGCAAAAGGAGUCACAGCCAGGGUAGAACAGACAUCUGCUGGAAGCCAGACAACUCAGUUGUGGCCAUAGCCAGUGAUGAUGGUUCUGUGGAGAUCUGUCAGUCAGGGACAUUCAAGCUGCUGUGUGUGGUCCAAGUGCACCGCAAGCUUAUCAACUGUCUGAAGUGGCACCCCCAGUUCACAGCGGACAAGCCCCUGGGCUCCGACUGUCGACACUGGCUAGCAUCAGGUGCCAGCGAUGCCCUCGUCAACGUUGUUGACCUGUCCAGUACAUUAGAUUCUGUGUCUGAGGGUGUGGCCAGCCUCACGGACAGCAUCCGCCGGCUGGAGGGGCACAGCAUCAGGGUGACGGCCAUCUCCUGGAACCCCCACGUCGAGGGACAGAUGGUCUCUGUGGGAUAUGACAGUAUGGCCUAUGUGUGGAAUGUGAAGACAGGGGAGGCAAUGUAUCAGUUUGAGGGACACAUUCAGCGCCUCUUGGCGGUGACCUGGAGUGGUACUGACCCCGAUGAGGUCAUGUCUGGAGGGUUUGACUCCAUGCUGCACCGAUGGAAGGUUUCCUCCCUCCCAAAGGCCGUCAUAGAAACAGGAAAGAAAAAGAAGAAGAAGAAGAAAUCUCACAGUGUCAAUACAGACGGUAGUCUGGUGUCCUCCAAAGGAUCAUCUCCUACAGUGUUUGAAGUAGCAGACGUCACAGAAGGUGAGAGCAAUGACAGCUUUGGCAGUGAUGCAAAGGGACAUAACUGGACUGACAAACAGAAUGGACAACCACAAGAAAACUUGAAGGCCACAGAGGGGGACUGGCCAUCUGAAAAUGUGGAUGCAGCAGGGCGCAGUAAACAGGCACAUGAGGGGAAGCGGCCCAAGGAGAGGAAGAAGCUGGACUUCCAGGAUGAGCUGGCUGAGUUGAGGGAGAUGUUGGAGAUGAGGAAGAAACAGAUACUGAAGGAGCAACAGCAGCAACCACAGUCACAGCAGACGUCACAGCCGCUGAAGGCAUCCCAACAGCACAGUAAGUCUCAGCAGAAGGCACCGAGAACAGCUACAAGACAUGAUGGCAGCAUGCAGGAGCUGACACCUGGUGUACAGGAAGAUGGCGAUGAGGAAGGGCUAUCAAGGGAGGAAAACUUGUCCGAUCUUAUACAAGAGGGAUUAACUACAAAUCUGCCGUGGGAGGACACACCGACAUCGCAACGUUGUGUUGAUGAUGCAGAGAAUCGUGAAACUGCGGCAAACAUCCUUGGGACUCAUUACCUGUCAAGCAAGAGCAAAGGAGAUUAUAGCAGUGUUAGAGACACCAGCAGCAAAAGGGAUUCCAGUCUGCGGGAGUCCAGCAUUACAUCCAGAAAGCGCAGGACACGUGCUAAAUCAUUCUUUCCUGUUUCGGCUAAAGAAGAGAAUCGUGGCAAAUCAGCGACAUUAGAAGACUUGUUGUUGUUGACCAGAUUGAAGACUGCAGAUCAGGAUGCAGAUCCCCAUGUCCAGGAUGACGACAGUGUCCAUCUGGGAUUGUUUACUGAUCGCCGGGGAACAUACAGAUGUCUCAACAGAGAAGGCGAGUACCAUCUGAACAAUGACAGCAUGGACUACGCCAUACAGAUGGAGAUAUGGAAGGGCAACAUUGGGGGCGCUCUGCAGAUCGCAACAGAUAGAGAAGAGCUCUCUGAUUGGUUGGUGGGCCUUGCCCCUCUUGCUUCCUACGACACGUGGCUGGGGAUGUGUGAGGAGUACGCCCGGCAGCUGGAGGGGGACGGUCAGUACCACAAGGCCACCUCCUACCUGCUGGCCUGUCACAAGGUGUAUGAAGCCAUCGACCUCUUCAAGCGGCACAGACUAUUCAAGGAGGCUGUGGCACUUGCGCGGAUGAGGUUGUCUCCCCUUGACCCAGUGCUGGAGGACCUGUAUAUGGAGUGGGCGCAGAUGUUAAUGAAAGAUGGCAACUACGAGCAGGCCGCCAAGUGUUACCUGGCUAUGAAGCAGAUCCAGGAUGCUGCCAAUCUGUUGACGAAGAGAACCGACCAAUCGUCCCUCAAAACGGCUACCCACAUGACUUUGUUAGCCAAUGAAAAGCCUCAGGGAUUUCUGUAUGCUCAUAGAUUGGUUCAUCAGUUCAUUGCCAAGGAUGACUGGAAACAGGGCUACAAAUUCCUCAAGGAACAUGAAACACUGAAGAUGUUGCUGCCGUUUGUCAGCAUGCACGAGCUGCUACUGCGGGAACUACAGUCCCUCACCCCGGGGACACUGAGGGAGGUUGACCCCGCCUGCUUCACAGAGUGGGGGGAGGCGCAGACCGGGAAGGCAUUCAUUCCAGAUUUCAUCCUUGAUGUAACUGAAUGUGAUCCUGUGUUGCCAUGGAAACCCUACAUGAUUGGAGAGCACUCCUUCCCACACCAUGUACUGAAGGUCUGGUCUGGUAACCUUGACAUUGGCAUGGACUCUGAGAGCCUCACUCUGACGUACAGGACUCUCCAGCAGCUUCAGUCUGGGAGACAGAGUCACAUCGACCCCCAGCAGUUGAUGUUCCAAGUGUGUAUGGACCUGACAUUGUCCUUGCUGGCCGUGCUGCUGGGUGAAACCGCCUCCGCCAUCAACCACCUGCUACAUGGAGUGUCCACACUGCACACCGUGGGCCAGCUUGACCUCAUGGAGGCGGUGUGUCAGCUCAUGCUGCCCCUGGGUCCCAAGUACCUCCUGAAGCUGCAGCAGGAAGCCACGGCACUGCGAGUCCUCAUCAGCAUGGAGGCCCACCUGGAGGUGGAGGGGUCCGGGAAGGCACCCUCACUCAAACGCUACCUCACCGACAUCAAGGAGGAUGACAGUGUGUCCACCUCGGGGCUCCGCUGUCGGGAGCUAGACUGUCUCCGAGCCUACUACUACCUUGCGAUCCUGCAUUACCUCAAGAACACCAUACUGGAGGAUUCCCUCACUCAAGGUCAGACUGCAGAAGCAUCUGUAGAUGAUGACUUCAAGGUCCAGGCGAAUGUGGAUCUUGAGCAGCUGACUCUUAGAGAGUCGGAUAAUCCAGUUGAAGGUGAAGGUCAGUCUGCAUCAGGUCAAAGUGGCCAGUCUGUUGUUUUAUCUCGCAGUCAGGAUUCCUCCAAGGUUAAAAGUGAAAGUGAACCAGCAAUAUCAAGUGAUGAUCAGGGUCAGUGUAUUGUACAAGGUGAAGGUCAAUCUGUUUCAGUUGGUCAAGGUCAGACAGAUAUUCCAACUGAUUCCAAAGAGAUUUCUGAGGAUGUAAGCAAGGCUAAUGCCGGCUGUGAGAAGGAUGUAAGUGUCUUGGAGGGUGCAAGUGGGACAAAUGUUGAUGGUGCCCAAGGAGGGCAAAGUGCCUUGGAUAAGGAUUCCAUUCCAUCUGAAAGCCAUGACCAAAGGGAUGUAUCCAAAAAGUGCCAAACUGCUGACAGUGUUCAGUUGUUAUCAAUCACCAAACUGAAACAGAUAUCCAGAGGCCUGCUCUGGGAUAUACAGGCCAAAAAGCAUUCUCUUACAGAGACCCUUGGCUACAUUCAUAAAGCCAUCUCCAAACACCUUCUGGCAGACAAAUCCAAGGACCACCAGUCAAGAGUAUUCAAACGAGCUCCUCAACAAGCAGCUGGAGGAGAGAACAAUAACAACGGCUUCAGCAGUAGUGGGGAUGCCACAGAGAACACAGGUUCAAGUCAGGCAGGUGAUGGGGGGAGUGCUCAGGCAGCAUCCCCAUCAUCACCAUCAGCAUCAGCACACUCCACUGUUCCUAAUGGACUCAAGGAUGGUCUUGCUGCAGCAGGAACUGUGGCCAGUCUCUGCAACCCUCUUGAUCCAUCAGACAUUGAGUUAGUGUCAUUUUCUGGAACUGAAACUUUUGCCAAGUCUCGGAAGGUUCUCUGGGAAGAUGAGCCACAUAAUAGUGAGAGUGUGGACUCCCGACCGAGGAAGGCCAGCUGUGUGUUGAAUCCAGCCAAAUACAUCAAUGUGCCGGAUGAGUGGUAUGGAAUGCCAGUAGAUGAGAAGUAUUUCAGGCCCUAUGUUACCAUGGCAGUGCUGAAGGAAGAGCAGGAGUAUGUGAUGCAUGAACUGAAGCGGGUUCCAGACAGCUCUGUGGUUUCUUUUCCCAACCCAUUUGACAGCGUGAAGGUGUUGUUGGAUGUCUGUCGUCUUUGUCCACACCUGGACGGAGACUCAAAGAAUGCAUAUAACAACCUGCUUGUCCUCUGGGCUCUACACUUUGCCGUCACAUCACAUCAGCGUAGGGAGCUCAGCAAGCUCAUCAAGUGUUCACCAGAAAAAGAGAGUCAAGUCUAAGUUCAAGUUAAGAUAGCGUACGCCUUUCAACAUCAAACAGUGCUUUGUAGCAUUCUAGCAAAAUAUCUUGUAUGUAGUAUUUGGAGUAUCAUAUGUCAACAUUGAUCACUGUAUUCAAAGUGGGUGUAUCUGGAGACCUUACAUUAAUCCAAACUUGCAAACAAAUCUGAGACUCAAUCCCAAUAUUGUUGUGAUACCUUACAUGUAAAUGUGAGCUGUUCUUCAACAAGAAGAAGCAGUGACUGUAGACUGUCCUGCUGUUAGGGCCAGACUGGAUACAGAAGUGCAGUCAGAUAACCACAGUGGUAGGUAGUUGUAGGCGUACCUGUACUCACUAACUGGUAUACCCCAGAUCUGUUCCUGUUUCUCCUCAACUAUCCCAUGUAACCUGUCUCCAUUCUAUUACCCUGGACCCAUUCUCCACCGUAGCUUCAGAAGUGACGUCAUCAUAUCAGUUCCCUCAUCACUGACUUACCCCAGAAUUUCUCUCUUCACUGAGCCGGAAGUCAGCAACAAAUCAACAUGCUCUUUCUGAAUGCUGAAAUAUACAUCUACAUUCACAAUUGUGACCUCGUACGAGCGAACCCUUAGUACAUUUGACUCAAUCAGAAGACUGUUUUAAAUGAAGACUUCAAACCUAAUUCAGAAUGAAGCUAUGGUGGCAGAUUGAUCCAGGGUAUUUUUCAUUACAGAAUGAAAAUACAGGAGGAUGGGUCCUGUUCUAAGAAUAUGCUUUUCAUUUAUGGUAGGCCAAAACGUUUUGUUUUUUGAAAAUCGUCUGCUUUGAAAUCCAUAAAUAAACAGCAAACCCUGACAUUGUGCAUGCUGCGUGGAGUUAUGUGGUACGUGCUGUGUAUCACCAGACAUGGUACAAUCUACUCUGACCAGUCUCAUGGUGUCAAGUAUUGUUGUGUACCAGUCUACAGAAGACAUACACAUGAUAAUGUGGGAAAAAGUCUUUUUCAGCAUUUCCCCUUGUCAGUUGCUAAAGUAUGUUACCCAAGUAGCCAUCGUCAGCCUCACUUUGCUUUUUACAUCCACCUGCUUUAUCUUCAGCCUUGUAGUUGAAUGUAAUAUUCCAGCUGUAUCACGACAGCCUGUAAAAAUUGUCUAGAAACAGGGUGGUUUGUUUGUUGUUUAACCCACACAGUCAAUAUUCCAGCUAUAUGACGUCAGUCUCUAAAUGAUCGAGUCUGAACCUAACAAUCCAGUAACUCGACAUCAUGAGCAUCGAUCCACGCAGUUGACCUGCAUCAUCCAAGUCAGCAAGCCUGGCCAACCGAUCCUGUCAGUCGCCUCUUACGACAAGCAAAGUCGCCUUUUAGGGCAUGCUUGGGUUGCUGAAGACCUAUUCUAACCCGGAUCUUCACAGGUUGAGACCAGGCAAACCAGUGAUUGACAGCAUGAGCAACAAUCAAUGCCAUCAGGGCAUGAUGACAUGUUAUCGGCCAAGUCAUCAAACCCAGCCAACUUGUCCUCUGAAGUCUGCUCGUACAACAAGCGAUACUGGGGAACUAGCUAAUCUUAGCCAGAAUCCCCACAAGGCUGUGACAGCAAAGGGGGGUAACUCUCAAUAUGUCAACAGUCAGUUUACCUUGGAAUGGGAGUCAUUCUAUUGUGUUCUUGUUGCUAUUGACUAAACUUCACUUUUGUUCUUCUUUUUGCCUUACUGUAUCAGAUUUCAUCACGCUAAACAAUUCAACCCAUCCUAAAGUAGGGUUUGUUUUGUUGGGUUUUUUUGUGGGUUUUUUUGUGGGUUUUUUUUUUAUUUCUUUGAAAAACAUUAAUUUGCAGAAUGAUAGUAAAAAACAGCUUUCAAAUUCAGAUAAUGACUGUUUUAUCUAUUGUGAAGUGGAACAAAUGUGUGCUAUUUACAUACAAUACAGACAAUACUAGGAUAGUAAUAAGAGCUAUGGUGCAACUCAAAGAAAACCAAUGAAAGUUUCUGGUCUUGGUCUGCCGAUUAUAGACUGAUCAACCAUCAGGAUACCGGGAACACGCACAUAUUAUGGAGAGGCCUCAACGAUGGCAGGCAUACAAAUGAUUCCCAUCCUGCCUUAGUAAAGAAUGACAUACCGGGUCCAUUACCAUAGUGAACCCCUAUCCUGCAAUACUUCAUAGGCCAAUGUUGAUGUAUGGCAGAAAUACAAGUAGUUCUGAUAAGGACAUGUUUCUGGUUUAUCUGACAAAGAAACGUCUACCAUAAAUGGCAUUGUUGAUUUGAUUGUUAUUUGUGUUUUUUUCUGUUAUAAUGGCAUAAUCUUCAGGUGUGCUUCCCUUUUGUCUCUUAGUCUGGCUGCCCAUGUGUAGAUUCAGACCUGAUGAUUUGGGACAAUCACGCAGCAGUUGCAUGUUUGAUCUCUUCACAUCUCAUUGCCUCUCUCUGUUGAUAAUGACCUGUAUUAUUUCUGACAUAUUUCGAAGACAGUCCCAAGAUCGGCUGGUCUUUAACUCUUGAUAUUCUCACCUAGAUUAUGAUAGUUGGUUUCUAAGCACCUUACCCAUGAUCGUAGUUUUCAUGAAAAUUUACACAUCUGUGAUCUGCAUCACUCUGGGCUGCCGUCUUACACUCAGAUGCCUUAGUCGAACUGUAAAGAUUAAAGACCAACUGAUUCACUUAUCUUCAGUAAAAAGUCUUUAGGAUUUCACCAUGUCAGUGGUAUUCACACAAACCUGUACUGGAUCCAGUAUAGUUACCUCAGUUGGACUAAAUUUUCAUGAAUUUAGGUACAAUUGGCAUCUAUAAAACAUAUUUAACAAAGUACAUGCUGGAAGUUUUUUAAGAAACAUUGAUUUGUUACAAAUUGUUUUGUCAUUUAGACUAUUUGUCAAAAUUAGAAUAAAAGAUUUCAAAACUCACAAUCUACAUAAAGUCAAUCAGUCACAAAGCACAGUACAGUUUCUACACAUCACAGAAUUUGCAGUUUCUCCAGUGAUGGGGCAGUUGGUUUGCAGUACGAUCUUAAUGGAGUCAGUCUUGUGUUCUGAGGUUCAGGGUUGGGUCACUCAGGCUGUUGGCUUACAGCUUCAGGAUUAUUCUAGCCUUGCACAGUCGGGUAAUGAAAGCUGUAGUGUGGCAUCCUGGCUUUGUGAAAGUUGUAGUGUUGUAGUUUUUAGUGUGGCAUCCAAGGUUUGUGAAAGCGUAGUGCUGGAUCCAAGGUUUGUGAAAGCUGUAGUGCUGCAUCCAAGGUUUAUGAAAGUUGUUGUGUUGUUUCCAAGGUUUAUGAAGCUGCAGUGCUGCAUCCAAGGUUUAUGAAAGCUGCAGUGUUGCUUCCAAGGUUUAUGAAAGCUGUAGUGUUGCAUCCAAGGUUUAUGAAGCUGUAGUGUUGCAUCCAAGGUUUAUGAAAGCUGCAGUGUUGCUUCCAAGGUUUAUGAAAGCUGCAGUGUUGCUUCCAAGGUGUAUGAAAGCUGUAGUACUGCAUACUAGUAUAAUGAAAGAUGUAAUGUUGUGGCCUAGAUUUAUGAAGACUGAAGUACAACAAUAAAUUACAGAACCAUUACACUAAUAGAAUGCCCUAUAAUGAAGUAAGUUAGACAGAUUUAGUUAACAGUGGCAAUUGAAGAUUUCUUUAUAUUCAUUGAAACAAAGGAGAGGUAACACUCUUCCAAGAGACCGACUGGAAUCAGUUGGUGUGAAAUGCCCCUUUUGUUAGUCAAGGGAGACAACUCUUAUAGCCAUGUGGGCUGUACAGUGACAGUUGGACAGGCUAACAACUGUGCACAAUACAUGUAACAGAUUCACCAGAGGUACUGGAUGGACUGAGGAUGUUAUUAAACACUGUGCUAUUUGUGAGAUAUGUUACUCUACAGAAGAAAAAAUAUUAGUGUCAGGUGAUUUUGUCUAUUUUUGUGUGAAAGAAGUCAUGCUGGCUGAUUUUCUGUUUGUAUUCAAAAUGUGUUUUGGAUUUUUUCAACUGUUUUGUUGAUUUGUGCAUCAAAGUGCUAGGCCAGUUGUGAUACUUUUUGUGGAGUUUAGCUUUUCCGUUUCCAAUGUAGUGUUUCAUGCAUUGUCCUUGAUGUCACCCGUGGUUGACCUUGACAUUAUCAAUGUGAGCUUGUGUCUUUAGCCCUGUCUGUCCACCAUCUGCCAGCACUGACUUUAACAUUUGUUCUCCCCAAACCACUGAGCAUGUCAAUAUCGUAUUUACACAUGUGGAACAUGAAAAUUUCAGUAGCAGUCAUGACAGGUCAUAAUUAUUACAGAAGUAUCUGUGACAAUUGGAAACACUCUUUGAAAGUUUCCUUUCUUUAAUAUCCAACCAACAGAGCCAUAGUUUUCAGUUUUUCAGAAAUAUUGUUUAUUGCAUUUGAAAAUAUUGCAAAAUGGACUUUAGAGCAUUGUCAUUCAAGUGUUGAAGUACUCAAUGAAGGUGAGAUUCUGUACCUUGGGUACGCUGGUUUUGUUAGCUAUUUUUGAAAAAAAUAAAUUCUUUGUGAGGAAAAAAUAUACUGUGACUUCCAAGAAUUGUAUGAAUGUUGCUUUGAUGAAGACAAAGAUGGAGGAAGUGUAAUGGCAUUUCCUUUUGCUGAAGUUGACAGGGAACAAGUAUAUUAAAACCACAUUACUUUUCUCCAAUGAACUUAUUCUGUAUCUACCAAAGAACUUGAUCAUGUCAUUGUCACCGAUGUAUUUUAUCAGUAUUGUUUCAUGUGUAGAUUUAAUGGAGUCACAUGAUAAUCCCAGCUCAUGACUUGGAUGAAACGGAACCAAUGUUUGAGGACUAGGCUUGACAGAAAUACAUGGUUAUUUCAUUGAAGGAAUGUGCAUUCACCAGUUGACUUUUUCACCCAGCUAGGACUGUAUGUAAACUUUGCCUCAAAGUGUUUUGAAAAGAUCAAAGCAUUGCCUUCUGUUUUCUGCUUCUGUGUGCUGCUCAUGUUGACAGUGCAAUGCCAAUGAACAGAAGAUGGGUAAAGUAUUUCUGUGUCACUAUUGUUUGACAAAGUAAAAAUACAAGAUUUAUGAUUGUUAAAUUUGUGAAUAAAGAAAAUUACUGAUAA
rnacentral:misc_RNA from 1 species